rnacentral:lncRNA from 1 species
AUGUUGAGGCCAGGGUCAUUUUAUUUUCGAUCAGGCAGAACUUUAAAGCCUGGGUUUACCUUGAGGGUUUCCCUUGCCGUGCAUUUUGUUAUGUUUGUAUUUAUUAACUGUGCUCUACUGCAUUGCCAUUUGAGAUUCUGUAUUCAUCCAAGGAAGAGUGUGGAUAAGCUGCAGGAUGCUGAUUGUGUGGCGCACAUUACCCGGGUUGCAGCCAGAUUUUCAGAUGUACUUCUUUGGAAUGAAUAUCCUUGCAGUGAGAGAUAUGUUUUCUUCUCAUUCCAGAUAAUUUCUCCUCUGAACGACUCUCACAUCUGCAGUGAAAACCUUGAGUGGACCGAGGGAAGCUCAGAGGAGGAUACAUGUACAAGUGCUGAGACCCCAUGGUGGCCAGAAAGAUGGGAUGCAUCCCAGAAUGCUAUUAAGCGGAGAGAUGGGCCUGCAGUUUUCUACUUGACAACAUGCAUCUGUACAAGGUAAUCAAAUGUUCUCUCAUACAACUCGGAGCUGAAAUCAAAUUCAACCUUACCAACAGACUUAGUGGAACUCUACACAUGAUUCCAAGCCAUGAACCUCUGUGAUUUAGUUAACUCCAUAAGGCCUUUCAGUUUGAUUGGCUAAAUAGUCUCUUGAGUUUCUCAUCAUCAUAUCUGGGAGAUUCUAUGCCAGCGUAGCUGUAAAUUAUUUAUGGUAUCACAAAUUGUUCUGGCAAUUUUAACAUAGAAACUUAAUUGGGGGAAGGAUGUUUGACAUGCUUUUUACAUUUGUAUCACACAACAUUUUUCUCAUUAUGAUGAAAGGGGCCAUUUUACGCCAUUUUUAGACCUAUUACAUGCCUCCUGUAAGAGCCUAUGAUCUGUGGACCGUA